GUAAAAGGAGCAGGAAGUACAGGGAACAGGAGUUUAUCUAGUCAGGUGAUAGUGAUUCUCCGUGGCUUUGGGCGAUUUGGAUUUUCAAGGGACAGUCAGGUACAGGAGCUUGAAAAAUAUUAAGAGAGAUUGGCAGUAUAUUUUGUAAGUGGAAGAC
rnacentral:lncRNA from 1 species